GAUGAACGCUGGCGGCAUGCUUUACACAUGCAAGUCGGACGGGAAGUGGUGUUUCCAGUGGCGGGCGGGUGAGUAACGCGUAAGAACCUGCCCUUGGGAGGGGAACAACAGCUGGAAACGGCUGCUAAUACCCCGUAGGCUGAGGAGCGAAAGGAGGAAUCCGCCCAAGGAGGGGCUCGCGUCUGAUUAGCUAGUUGGUGAGGUAAUAGCUUACCAAGGCCGUGAUCAGUAGCUGGUCCGAGAGGAUGAUCAGCCACACUGGGACUGAGACAAGGCCCAGACUCCUACGGGAGGCAGCAGUGGGGAAUUUUCCGCAAUGGGCGAAAGCCUGACGGAGCAAUGCCGCGUGGAGGUAAAAGGCCUACGGGUCAUGAACUUCUUUUCCUGGAGAAGAAACAAUGACGGUAUCUGGGGAAUAAGCAGCGGCUAACUCUGUG
rnacentral:rRNA from 1 species